UACGUAGGCAGCAAGCGUUGUUCGGAAUUACUGGGCGUAAAGAGUGUGUAGGCGGUUCUCUAAGUUCCGUGUGAAAUCUCCCGGCUUAACUGGGAGGGUGCGCGGAAGACUGGAGGGCUGGAGUAUGGGAGAGGAAAGCGGAAUUCCUGGUGUAGCGGUGAAAUGCGUAGAUAUCAGGAGGAACACCUGCGGUGUAGACAGCUUUCUGGACCAUCACUGGCGCUGAGACACGAAAGCGUGGGUAGCAAACAGG
rnacentral:rRNA from 1 species